rnacentral:rRNA from 1 species
AGUGAACGCUGGCGGUAGGCCUAACACAUGCAAGUCGAACGGCAGCACAGUAAGAGCUUGCUCUUACGGGUGGCGAGUGGCGGACGGGUGAGGAAUACAUCGGAAUCUACUUUUUCGUGGGGGAUAACGUAGGGAAACUUACGCUAAUACCGCAUACGACCUACGGGUGAAAGCAGGGGAUCUUCGGACCUUGCGCGAUUGAAUGAGCCGAUGUCGGAUUAGCUAGUUGGCGGGGUAAAGGCCCACCAAGGCGACGAUCCGUAGCUGGUCUGGGAGGAUGAUCAGCCACACUGGAACUGAGACACGGUCCAGACUCCUACGGGAGGCAGCAGUGGGGAAUAUUGGACAAUGGGCGCAUGCCUGAUCCAGCUAUACCGCGUGGGUGAAGAAGGCCUUCGGGUUGUAAAGCCCUUUUGUUGGGAAAGAAAAGCAGCAGGUUAAUACCCCGCUGUUCUGACGGUACCCAAAGAAUAAGCACCGGCUAACUUCGUG